rnacentral:rRNA from 1 species
GUGAACAUACCGUACGUUGCCUCGGCAGGCUGCAUCUCCCUGUGAGGUCCUACCCUGUAGGAUGCUACGCUGUAAGGCUUAGCGGGAAGAUGCAUUAAAGCCUGCCGGCGGCCCAUUAAACUCUGUUUAUUUUUGAAUUCUGAGGCUAUAAUAAAUAAGUUAAAACUUUCAACAACGGAUCUCUUGGUUCUGGCAUCGAUGAAGAACGCAGCGAAAUGCGAUAAGUAAUGUGAAUUGCAGAAUUUAGUGAAUCAUCGAAUCUUUGAACGCACAUUGCGCCCACUAGUAUUCUAGUGGGCAUGCCUGUUCGAGCGUCAUUUCAACCCUUAAGCCCCUGUUGCUUAGUGUUGGGAGCCUACGGUCAGCGUAGCUCCUCAAAUGUAGUGGCGGAGUUGGUUCACACUCUAGACGUAGUAAUUUUUAUCUCGCCUGUGAGUUGGACCGGUCCCUCGCCGUAAAACCCCCAAAAAUUUUAAAGGUUGACCUCGGA